CCAUGGAGCUGGGGCUGCGCUGGGUUCUCCUUGUUGCUCUGUUGAAAGGUGUGCAGUGUGAGGUGCGGCUGGUGGAGUCUGGGGGAGGCUUGGUGCAGCCUGGGAGGUCCCUGAGACUCUCCUGUGCAGCCUCCGGAUUCACCUUCAGUGGUUACUUCAUGGACUGGAUCCGCCAGGGUCCAGGGAAUAGGCUGGAGUGGGUUGCACAAAUUGAUCCAGGAGGUGGUAGCACAUGGUACCCAGACUCUGUGAAGGGCCGGUUCACCCUCUCCAGAGACAACAGUAAAAGCACACUGUACCUGCAAAUGAGCAGCCUGAGAACCGAGGACACGGUCCUGUAUUACUGUGCAAGGCACAGUGAGAGUAGCCAGUGGGAGCCAGGACACACAGGUUGGUAA